ACUCCUACGGGAGGCAGCAGUGGGGAAUCUUGGACAAUGGGGGCAACCCUGAUCCAGCCAUGCCGCGUGAGUGAUGAAGGCCUUAGGGUCGUAAAGCUCUUUCGCCUGUGAAGAUAAUGACGGUAGCAGGUAAAGAAACCCCGGCUAACUCCGUGCCAGCAGCCGCGGUAAUACGGAGGGGGUUAGCGUUGUUCGGAAUUACUGGGGCGUAAAGCGCACGUAGGCGGAUCGGAAAGUUGGGGGUGAAAUCCCGGGGCUCAACCCCGGAACUGCCUCCAAAACUAUCGGUCUAGAGUUCGAGAGAGGUGAGUGGAAUUCCGAGUGUAGAGGUGAAAUUCGUAGAUAUUCGGAGGAACACCAGUGGCGAAGGCGGCUCACUGGCUCGAUACUGACGCUGAGGUGCGAAAGUGUGGGGAGCAAACAGGAUUAGAUACCCUGGUAGGAUAGCG
rnacentral:rRNA from 1 species